rnacentral:lncRNA from 1 species
GAUCUAACUCGAACAGAAGCUUAAGCCGGUUAAACCGAUGCGGUACGGUUCCACAAAACCGGUUCGAGUUAACGUGGAACAGAGCAAGAUCCGUUAACAAACCAAGCUCUUGAGGCAAGUAUCCAGCAAUGUCAGCGUGGUUGAGAUCUAUCCCGGCGACUGUACGGAUCCGUGGGUUAUCCGGCGCCGGAGCACAGUAAACGCCGGUGUAACUGCAGACGUCGGAGCCGAUCCAGUUGGCGGUGAAGUUGUUUGGAUCAGAGAGAAUGGCUUGUUUCCAAGCUUGAAGAGCUACGUAAGCACUUCGAAGACGUGGAUUCUCGAAGACGAGAGAUGGGUCGACGACAACAUUCUCGCCACGGUCGCCAAAGUCGUCGCGGUAGUACAGAAGCUGUCGCUGUCGGAUCAGAUGGACUUCUUUGUCUGAAAGAUCGCUGUUGGAACUAGCGAGUGAAUAAGAGUGAGAGAGACCAGUAGAAAACAAGAAGGUAAAAUGAAGAACAAAAAGAGCGUAGAUCUGAGCCAUCUUCUUCGUCUUCAUUGCUUCAGAGAAACAUACAUUUGAGUAGAAUGGCAGAUAGUGAGAGAGAUUUGAAGGAUGACGAAGGGUAAAAUGAAGACAAGAAGUUAGAAAACAAACAGUGUGAAAGAGAGAAUUAUUAGAGAGAGAGGACAGGUCUUUCACAGCUCAGCCCUACACGCAUAUACUAUUGCUGAGAUCUAACUCGAACAGAAGCUUAAGCCGGUUAAACCGAUGCGGUACGGUUCCACAAAACCGGUUCGAGUUAACGUGGAACAGAGCAAGAUCCGUUAACAAACCAAGCUCUUGAGGCAAGUAUCCAGCAAUGUCAGCGUGGUUGAGAUCUAUCCCGGCGACUGUACGGAUCCGUGGGUUAUCCGGCGCCGGAGCACAGUAAACGCCGGUGUAACUGCAGACGUCGGAGCCGAUCCAGUUGGCGGUGAAGUUGUUUGGAUCAGAGAGAAUGGCUUGUUUCCAAGCUUGAAGAGCUACGUAAGCACUUCGAAGACGUGGAUUCUCGAAGACGAGAGAUGGGUCGACGACGACAUUCUCGCCACGGUCGCCAAAGUCGUCGCGGUAGUACAGAAGCUGUCGCUGUCGGAUCAGAUGGACCUCUUUGUCUGAAAGAUCGCUGUUGGAACUAGCGAGUGAAUAAGAGUGAGAGAGACCAGUAGAAAACAAGAAGGUAAAAUGAAGAACAAAAAGAGCGUAGAUCUGAGCCAUCUUCUUCGUCUUCAUUGCUUCAGAGAAACAUACAUUUGAGUAGAAUGGCAGAUAGUGAGAGAGAUUUGAAGGAUGACGAAGGGUAAAAUGAAGACAAGAAGUUAG